CUCUCAUGAUAUUUCUCCGCCUUCUCUCUGCCCUCUCUCUCUGGUUUUCCGGCCUUGUUUGCCUGUCAUCUUCUCCGAUCUCUUAGCUCCACCGAUGAUUCUUGGUUCUAGAGAGGUUCAUCGGUUUAGAUCUUGAGUUAGGCGAUUUCUUUGGCGUCCUCCUCAGAUGGAGCUUGAGAAUGAGCCAUAUCCUGUUGUAUUUGACCGUGUCUUAGCGUUCUGGAUUGUUUUAGACCCUGCGGGAUCGAGUGCUUAGUGUGACUAACAUCUUUACUUAGUGUGCAGGUCUAAAUCUGAUGGAGCUUGAGAAUCAGUCCGAGUUGACGGCUGAUUAGUAGCUAGAGUUUCUGAUUUGUUUAGUUUGUACCAAGUAUUCUUGUUAUCUUGAGUUUCUCUCUUGUAUCUUGGCUUGUACCUUUGAGAUUAGCCAUCUCAGAACAAUAUCAAUAAAAGAGGUCCUGGUAAUUAGUGAAUCCCGAAUGGUCUGAUCCCUACAACAUUGAUGAGGAGGAGUUGGAGGCCAUCACAUUCCGGCUCACCAAAAAGGAGAUCACGCUAACUCCGACUUAAUUCAACGCUAUAUUCAAAGUGUACGGAGAUCAGGACAGAGCCAUUUGGCAAGACCCGGAGGACUUUGAUAGAGAUUGGUUCUGGCAGGCAAUCACAGGUCAGCGGGACCCCACAGCCAGGUUCAACCCUUCUAGAGCCAAGAGUAGUGAAACAAGGUACCCGUUUUACGCUACAUGCACAAGGCAUUGGUGUGCCUCUCGUUUGCCCACACAGAGGCUGGGAGUGUCCAGACUGAGAAGCUGUUUGUUCAGAAUCCAUUUAGUAGGAUUUAUGAAAAGUCCAGGUCAAGGGACCUCAAGCGCGGAAGUAGCUGCCUUGAUGCGUUUGGCUGCUGAUUUAGGGAGCAAACUUUAUGAAGAUGAGUGGCAAGAUAUCGUUCUUUGUUUGAAAGAGGCUGCUGAGUCUAGUUUGCCUGGUUUUGCAAAACUUCUGGAAACCAUGGACAGCAUCGAGAUUCCCGAUGUUUCUCAUCCAGAUAAUGAUAUGGAACUGUCUACAGGCCAUGGAGAUGGCUCUGAGGAUGAUAACGAAAACCUUCAAAUGGUAGCGUAUAUUUUAUCAGGGAUGAAUGUCCAUGUUAAUGUACAGCUACUUGUUAUACAGGUUCAUGCUCUCUCUCAGACAUCCAUUUGAACUGUUAUCGUGUUAAUUGUGCUGGUGCUUACCUUUGUUAAGCGUAUCAACUAUGAAAUGGAUGGUCUCAGGAAAGUGUUGCAGAUAUACCUAUGUGUCACAUAAUACUUAAACCAAGGGCAAACUGCCUUCUUCCAUUAGUGUCCGCAAAGGAGGAGGAAUUAGCAGCUCGAACGCACCUAGUUCUAUCAGUUAGUGUGUAAAUACUUUUGUUUAUUAUGUACAAAGUAUAAGAGUUGAGAGU